AGUGAACGCUGGCGGUAGGCCUAACACAUGCAAGUCGAACGGCAGCACAGGAGAGCUUGCUCUCUGGGUGGCGAGUGGCGGACGGGUGAGGAAUACAUCGGAAUCUACUCUGUCGUGGGGGAUAACGUAGGGAAACUUACGCUAAUACCGCAUAGGACCUACGGGUGAAAGCAGGGGACCUCCGGGCCUUGCGCGAUUGAAUGAGCCGAUGUCGGAUUAGCUAGUUGGCGGGGUAAGGGCCCACCAAGGCGACGAUCCGUAGCUGGUCUGAGAGGAUGAUCAGCCACACUGGAACUGAGACACGGUCCAGACUCCUACGGGAGGCAGCAGUGGGGAAUAUUGGACAAUGGGCGCAAGCCUGAUCCAGCCAUACCGCGUGGGUGAAGAAGGCCUUCGGGUUGUAAAGCCCUUUUGUUGGGAAAGAAAUCCAGCUGGCUAAUACCCGGUUGGGAUGACGGUACCCAAAGAAUAAGCACCGGCUAACUUCGUGCCAGCAGCCGCCGUAA
rnacentral:rRNA from 1 species